rnacentral:misc_RNA from 1 species
GGUUGUGAGUCCAGCAGGUUUGGGUAGCUAUAAAUGGAGUUGUAUAAAUGAGAAAAAUGCCAAUGCUUUUUCAGAUUUUAGAGAGAAUUUUGUUAUAGAUUCUAUAUGCCUAUUUAUGAAUAAAAAUACUGAAUUGCAAUCAAUAGUAAAAAAAUAAAAAUAAAAAUGAGAAUUCACACCAAUCCUGUAGGCCAAGGCGUUUGCGCUCUUUUGCAUUGGAGGGCUUUCCUUGCAUAUUCUCUUCGCGCAUAUAAUCUGGACAUCGAAGCUGAGCUGUGAUUUGUCCACAGAUGAGAUAUCCUUGAAUAUUCGUAAGCUACCCAUGUCAUGUUUAAAAUGCAUAACAGGGAAUUGCACGUAUCCAUUUUAUGAAUCAAUUGGCUCAGCAUUAAUAAACCUGUAUAAAGGCUUAAAAAGUACAUAAUGUAAUUUGCAAAUCAUCUAUUGUUGAAUGUUCCAUAAAUUUUCUAUUGAGCAUUUCCAUGCAAUUACCUUGACUCAAUAUUACAUUCCCUAAUAUUAUAAUGAGAUCAACGUGCAUAAGCUUGAUUCAGUAAAUUGGUUUCGCCUAGUUUACAUGACAUUAAAAUGAAAUGCUCCAUACCAUGGAAAAAGCGAUGCCGAAGCACAUUGCAUCUUCUUGGAAGUUCAAUAAUCUAUGUAGUCUGCAUUAACUUGAAUAAAACAAAAUUAAAUGAGAUUACAGAACUAUUCCUACUCAAAACCUUGACCAAAAAACAAAAUCUCCACGCUUGAAAGUAUCUAUUUGCUCGCAUUCAUCUCCUUUCCUGAAACAACCAAUGAUGCACUGUGGUUUAUUCCAGCUGCUAGUUUGGCUAGUCACUCUCAUAUCCAUCAUCUUCCUUAUUUUUUUUCAAGAUCAUCAUCAUCAUCAUCCUGAUUAUCUUCAUCCUCUUCCUAAAUUUCCUCCUGCUUUUUCUUGUCUCCAACAAUUCCAUACUCACUGAAAAUGACACUGCCAGAACACAAUCCCUCCUCAACCUUGAUGAGUUGUAGAGUCAUUCUGGGUCCAAUUUCCUGAAGCUUGACAGCACUUUUUGUAGAAGCCCUAUUAACUCUACCAAGAUCACUAGCCAGAGUCACUGUUGCUGCUUCAUCAUCUGCUUCACUUUCUGAUCCAUACCCAGCCUUAGUAACAAAGUCACUCACGUCUUGGAGACUCCUAAGAUCAGGGACUUGGUGUUUUUGUACAAACUUUCUGAUUCUACGGGAGACACCCACAGGUUGGAGUCUGAUGGAAUAAUGCCGAAAAUCAAUAAGCUUUGUAUCCUUGUUAUAAUUCAUUAACACAACUCUCUGGCAACAGGCAAGUUUGACAGUGUUAAUAUCAAUAGCUGGAAAGAUGUUCUGAAACAUUAUAGUUGUGAGCUUCAGAUGUUGUUCUCCUGACCCAAAACCAGAAAGAACAAUCAAUGGAGGAUUUUUGAAAAGAUCUUGAGGGCAUCUAGGGCGCAAUUGAGACUGCGCAACAUCUUGUGCUGUUGAAUACUCGUGUAUCUUAAAUAUAAGGGUUGGGCCCUGAGGGGUCCUUGCAACCCUCAGAUAGGAUGCAGUUUCAGUUUUUGACAAUAUAAGGAAAUGGGUGACACCCAUAGGCCCUGAAACAUUCAAAAAGUCCCUGAGGUUAUUUCGUUUCUUCUCCUGUAACCAAAAAGCAAAAAGUGGGACGUGAAUUCAACAAUUAUAGCACAAACUCCCCGCACCAAAAUCAAUUUAUUCUUCCCAAUAAAAUCUCAGACACAUUUUCUAACAGAUAAAAGAGCAAAAUGAUAAGGAAACUACGCAUUA